AAUAUUUUUUUUUUUUGGACAAUAAUAUCUAUUUGUAAAAUAUGAAUAUUGCAUUUGUAACUUGUAAUAUAUUAAUAUUUACUAGUUGAGAUAUAAUCCUAAUAUUUAUGACGUCAAUAAAUAAUUUGAUUAAGUAUAUUAUAAUAAUUUAUCAAAGGAAUAAAUAAUUGUUUUUCUUUGUUUUAAAAAACUAUUUUAUUUAUUCGCUACCCAAUUUUCUCGCGCUCUAUCUUUUGUGCUUGCGAUUCAGAGAACCGCGGUAGCGCAGAAGUGGUGAAGCUGAAGUAAUUUCAAUCCAGAUAUUGCUGUUGUUGAUAAAGAUGGUCUUCCUGUGUUGGUCUCGUCCAUCUCCUCAGGAGCAGAAGACGUGCAUUGACAGGUCUGGUUCCUUCAACUAUAGCAGCAAGUUUAGAGGAGCUACUGCUAAUCCCAGCUCUUGCCUGCAAGAAGAUAAGGGGCUCUCACAAGAAGGGUUUCUUCUCAACCAUGCUCGUAUUUUGGUGGGUUCUGGUGUUGAGACUUAUGAAAAGGGGAAGAAAGCUCUUCAGAACUGGAGGCAUUUUGGGUUGAAUUGGGCAUUUGUUGAUUCCUCAACGCCAGUUCAUCCGGGAGUGAAGUUUUGUGUCUGUGCCAAGGAGUUCCUUCCAUGGGUGGUGAUGCCUCUUCAAAUUGUAUAUGUAAAUGAGAACAGAGGUACCAAUAUGGCUAGGACAUGUUUCAGUUUUGGCAGUGGUACCCUUCAAGGCCAUCUUCUGGCGGGUGAAGAACGGUUUUCGAUCGAGAUGGACUCGAACAGCCAGGUGUGGUAUGAAAUUCUUUCCUUCUCAAAGCCUGCCCACAUAUUAUCAUUUCUUAGUUAUCCUUAUGUAAUUCUUCGGCAAAAGUAUUUUGCUUAUCAAUCUACAAAUGCAGUUAAGAAAUAUUUGACUGCCAAGCAUUCCUAACUCCUGGUGUGCUUGUGUGUAUGUUCUUAGCUAUCCUUGUGUGUAUGCAGUUAAGAAUGCUUCUUCCUGCUCUUCAAUCCUCCUAUAGUGUGGCAUCAUCAGGACAUUGGAAUAGCUCAACUAUACAAAUGAACUCUGUCAUGAUCAUUGAUGUUUCUUAAAUUUGAGAACAUCUUAUCACUGGCUGCUUCUAACCAGUUGCCAACUUCCA